UCUGACCAAACAUAAAAGAAGGGAAUGACAUAGAGGAACUUUCAAUAUUGAAAGCAAACAUUUUGUAACAGGCCAUUAUCCAGAUAAGAUAGAUGAAGAAACAUGUUCUUGUUGAAGAAGUUGAUCUACUUCACCACAAGUUCUCAAAGGCAAGUUUACACAACUAAAAACACAUCAGUGUUGUCUUUUAGCACUUAACUUGUUUUUCAAUUUGCUACUAAAAAAAUUAUAUAGGCUGUGGCCAAAAUCAAUUAAUAAAAACCAACUUUCUCUAGGCAAAGAUACACAGGAAUAUGUGCUGAACUUUUGAUGUGAUCUGAUGAAACUUAACUUGUUGGCAAACUAAAAAAUAAUAUCAAAACAAAUACUUACCUACAAUGUGAUGUUUGUUUUCUUCUGUGUUUAUACUUGCUUCUUUGCACUGUUUACGUCAAAGGGCAACAUUUUAUUAUUCAACCAGGACAUGUCGGCCACGUGGGGAAACAAUUUAUUUUUUAACACUUAAUUCGGAAUCAGCCGUUUUCUUGUAGCAUUCAUAACUGCUAAGGAUGGCACUGAUGAAAUGCAAUACACCAACAAAAAAGCUA